AUUUGAUUUGAUUUAGUUUGUUGUUGAUGUGGACACCAAGGAACUUGAAGCUCUCAACAUGCUCCACUACAGCCCAGUCGAUGAGAAUAGGGGCGUGCAAGCUAAUAACGUUAGUAUUUUGGACAACCAAAGUCAAAAUGAUUGAUGAAAUCGAAGUGUGUCAGCUAUAUGGUGAUUUGCGACUCAUUACUUCCAUUUUACCGAUACUGCCAGUAGUAGUAGGCCAACCGAUAACACCAAGACUGAAUGAGUUUGAAGUGGAUGCGCUGCCGAGAACAGCUAGCAUGUCCAGCAAUGUACAUCGCCAGUGGCACACACACACUUCAUGCAGAUCAGCAGCUCUACAAUGAUGUGAUCGACUGUCUCCCAGGUGGGGGCUUUUCGUGGCAGCCAGACGAGACAAUAGAAGGAGGAUGUGGUGAGCAAAGUUACCAGGGGCAGAGCCAGAGGGGUGUCCGGGGUGACACAGACAUCUGACGUGCCACACCGACAUUUCAUUCGCUACUGGCAGGUUGAUGCUGAUUGACAUCUUAUUUCACCUCUUAUUGAAAGAAGCAUUUAUUUUGACGUUUGGCGGCGCAUUUUUGAAAUCGAGGACGAGGAAGAGAGAAUAUUAACGUUAGCUGCGAGAUACAGAAAAAUAAAAAGAACAUACAGAAGAGAGAAUAUUUCCACAGCUCCACAAGCUCUUUUUACGAUUGGCGAAAGCAUCAUAUUUGAAAUGUAUCAAGGGAUGACACAGAGACCUCUGAGCAAGACAGUGAGCCAGAGCUGCCAGGAGAUGUCAUCGACCCCCUUCCAACUGCAUCAAGCACCAGAUAUGCUGUUCCAAAAGGACCCAAUGACAUUUCAAGAUCCAGAGAAGAGGGUCCUGUACAGCCGUGUUUGAAAACAUUUCCCAGAACUCAGCAUGGUACUAGGAAAGGGGCUUUCAACAGCUCCUGGUUUAAGGACAAUUCAUGGCUUGAAAAUUCUGUAAGUCAAGAUUCAACAUAUUGUUUCGCCUGUAGACAUUUUUCUCUGCCCAAUACACCUGAUUCUGCCUUCACAUCACAGUCAGGUUUUUGUAACUGGAAAAGGGUGCUGUUUAAAGAUUCUGGGUUAAAGCUCCAUUCGAAGGCAGAGCAUCAUAUCAAUGCUAUGUAUGCUUGGAAUCAGCAUAAAAGGGCUAUUGACAGCAACUUAUCAAUGUUAGAUGUCAUAAAUGAGGACCGGAAAAAGGAGGAAAACUGUACUUACAUUAAAACAAUUACAGAUGUGCUCCUGUUAACUGCCACUCAAAAUACAGCGCAGAGAGGUUAUUGAGAGUCUGAUGACUCUCACAACAAGGGUCAUUUUUUUGACAAUCUUAGAAGGAAUAGCAAAGAAUGACCCUCUCAUAGAGAAAAGGAUGAAUGCAUAUGGCAAUGCUAAGUACACAAGCCACCAAAUCCAGAAUGAAGUUCUUGAGGGCUUAGCUGAGAUGGUACAUCGUGAAAUAAUAAGACAAGUAAAAGAAAUGGAAGUUUUUAGUGUAAUUGCAGAUGAAACCAAAGAUUGAAAGAACAAAUGUCUUUAGUUGUGAGGUACUAUUACAACGGAACCAUCCACGAAAGCUUUCUACACUUUCAGUCAGCUGAAAGCUUAGAUGCAGCAGGCCUCAAAAAUUAUAAUUGAUUGCCUUGAAAAACAUGGUCUGGACUACAGAAAUAAUCUUGUGGGGCAAGGCUAUGACGGUGCAUCCGUCAUGAGCGGAAAGCAUUCUGGUGUGUCUGCAUGGAUUAAAAACAGUGCAAGAUUUGCAUUUUAUGUGCACUGUAAUGCACAUUGUUUGAAUUUGGUUCUUGUCGAUGCUGUAAAAUCAGUGCCUGAGGCAGUUAACUUUUUUGCUCUCCGGCAGAAGCUUUAGAACUUUGUAUUUGGCUCGUACGUUCAUCUCAAGUGGCUUGCAGUUCAGAAAGAGCAGUAUCCACAGCAGCAGCCCAGGGAACUACAGAGAUUUACGGAUGUAAGGUGGGCAUGCAUGACGUAAUCUGAGGGACAGGCUUCCAGCAGUUCUGAGAGUGCUAUAGAAUAUCACACUUGAAAAUAGUGGUGAUAGAUCAGUGGAGGCAAGGGGACCUUCUUUCUCAGAUAGAUUUACAUUUCAUAGGGCUUUUGGUUACCUUCUGUCAAGUGCUUGGUGAUGCCAAAUGUCUUUCUGACAUGCUCCAAUCAAGCUCUUUUGACCAAGCAAGGGCUGUGGAUCUAGUAGGUGCCCUUACAGACACAUUACAGGACUACAGAAGUGAGGGUUACUUUGGAGAAGUAUGGAAAGAGGUUGAAGAGAUUGCAGAGCACUGCAAAAUAAGUGUACAAACAGUGUGUAAAAGACAGCCUAAAACAAGCUUAAGAUUUCACGACUCAUUGAUGAUGAGCACUGUAGGACAGAAAAAUUGUGACCAAAGUGAUGGUGAGAGCUUCCAAAGAGCUAUCUUUUAUCAGGUGCUUGACAGUCUCACAGCUGAGGUGCAGAGGCGUUUUCAAAGAAGAAUUGCAACAUAAUGCAAGGGGUCCAGUCUCUCAACCCAAAGAGUACAACAUUCUUCAAUGAGGAGACUCUGUUUGCCUUUGCUCAGACCUUUGAGUCAGAUUUAGAGGACCUCAAACAUGAGGUUCAUCAAACCAAGCGGCUUCUUGAUAGGACAGAGAAAAGUGGAAGGGACAGACCGUCUACUCUCUUUGACUUUUUUGUGUUUCUAGAACCUUAUAAAGAGGUCUUCCAUGAGCUAUUUCGACUUUGUAAGGUUUCUGUUGUUACAUCAGUCAGCAGUGCUUCUUGCGAGAGAAGCUUCUCAGCUUUAAUACUGAUUAAAACCCACCUUAGGACAACAAUGGUUGAUGACAGAUUAAGUCACCUUGGAAUUCUCAGUGUUGAGUCAAGGAGGGCACGCUCCCUCGACAUGGAUGAGUUUGUGAAACAUUUUGCCAGGACUCACCAGAAAUUACCUAGGAUAAUUUGGCACUUAGGCGGUCCCGCUGGUCAUGAUUAAAACCUGCACUGUGUACUAGCUAGUACACUGACAUUCUAAAAUGAUACAUCCAAAGGGUAUCAUGUCACACAGAUUUCAUUUGGUCUUGAUUAGGCCAAUUCCAAAACUUUCCUUUGCUAUUAGUUAGCAUAAUAUAUAUGAGCAUAAAUAUGAUACUGUAAGUUUAAUAUUGAUGGGCACCAAAAUAAUUUGUAUUUUUCCAAGUCCAUUUAUGCUUAAUACCUGGAAUGUCAAAUUGCAGUGUGUUUUAUUUGUAAAUGUACUUUUUUUGUAAAUAAACUAUGCAAUUUAUGUAACA